AUUGAACGCUGGCGGCAGGCCUAACACAUGCAAGUCGAACGAGUGGCGGACGGGUGAGUAAUGUCUGGGGAACUGCCCGAUGGAGGGGGAUAACUACUGGAAACGGUAGCUAAUACCGCAUACUAUCGGAUGUGCCCAGAUGGGAUUAGCUUGUAGGUGAGGUAAUGGCUCACCUAGGCGACGAUCCCUAUCUGGUCUGAGAGGAGGACCAGCCACACUGGAACUGAGACACGGUCCAGACUCCUACGGGAGGCAGCAGUGGGGAAUUUUGGACAAUGGGGGAAACCCUGAUGCAGCCAUUCCGCGUGUAUGAGGAAGGCCUUUGGGUUGUAAAGUACUUUUGGCAGGGAAGCGUUAUCGGCAGAAGAAGCACCUGCUAACUACGUGCCAGCAGCCGCGGUAAUUC
rnacentral:rRNA from 1 species